rnacentral:tRNA from 1 species
AGUCCUGUAAUUUAAUUGGUAAAAUGCAGAGCUUAUACCUCUGAUAUGCACUAGAUUGGUGCGCAUUCUCGGUUCGAAUCCGGGCGGGACUACCA